GUGCAAUCGCUGUAAUAUUUUAUUUUUAAAAGGUCUUAAACAAGAAUAAAUUUGUUUCUUGCGAGCUCGUUGUGUCAUUGCACGAGAAGCCGCGCCGUCUCGCGUUGUCAAAAGAGCUGACGCAAAUCGUUCAUUUUCAAACUUCAACAGCUGAAAAACACCCACUUUUAGCUCUUGGUUUGUUCUAAUGGGUGGAUUGUGUGCAAUCGCUGUAAUAUUUUAUUUUUAUAAGGUCUUAAACAAGAAUAAAUUCGUUUCUUGUGAGCUCGUAGUGCGAGUGCAGGAGAAGCCGCGCGGGCUCGCGCUGUCAAAAGAGCUGACGCAAAUCGUUCAUUUUCAAACUUCAACAGCUGAAAAACACCCACUUUUAGCUCUUGGUUUGUUCUAAUGGGUGGAUUGUGUGCAAUCGCUGUAAUAUUUUAUUUUUAAAAGGUCUUAAACAGGAAUAAAGUCGUUUGUUGUGAGGUCGUUGUGAAGCCCCGCGGUCUCGCGUUGUCUAAAUAGAUGACGCAAAUCCUUCAUUUUCCACACUUCAGCAGCUGAAAAACACCAACUUUUAGCUCUUGGUUUCUUCUAAUGGGUGGAUUGUGUGCAAUCGCUGUAAUAUUUUAUUUUUAAAAGGUCUUAAACAGGAAUAAACUCGUUUGUUGUGAGAUCGUUGUGAAGCCGCUGGUCUCGCGUUGUCAAAAAUAGAUGACGCAAAUCCUUCAUUUUCCACACUUCAACAGCUGAAAAACACCCACUUUUAGCUCUUG
ensembl:lncRNA